UACGAAGGGGGCUAGCGUUGCUCGGAAUCACUGGGCGUAAAGCGCACGUAGGCGGACUCUUAAGUCAGGGGUGAAAUCCUGGAGCUCAACUCCAGAACUGCCUUUGAUACUGGGAGUAUUGAGUUCGGGAGAGGUGAGUGGAACUGCGAGUGUAGAGGUGAAAUUCGUAGAUAUUCGCAAGAACACCAGUGGCGAAGGCGGCUCACUGGCCCGAUACUGACGCUGAGGUGCGAAAGCGUGGGGAGCAAACAGG
rnacentral:rRNA from 1 species